AAGAAAUAUGCCGGAUGGAUAGCAGCAGGGACCAUUGGGUCAACUGCCGACUGUACCCAUCCUGGCUGGUUACGCGAUUAGUUUGCUAAAGAACCAUUGCGUUUAUUUUUUAGGGGCUCCCUAGUUGACCAGUUGAAAUUUCUGUCCUUAUCUAAUUGAUCUCCAUUUUCAGUGAUAUUUCAAAUUUUCCGCCUUCAUCCAAGCCUAGUACCCCUAUUACAGGAC
rnacentral:lncRNA from 1 species